rfam:Gossypium raimondii Chr13_contig_1266, whole genome shotgun sequence.
UGUCACAAAAUUCAUCUAUUUGUACUAUUAAAAACCAGUGUACUUGACAGAAUAACUAGACAGUGACAUGUGACGUGCCACAUGUACUUCAUGCUGACGUACAGGGAUCAAUUUUUAAGAACAUGAAUGGAUGAAAUUUUUAACC